AGGUAGACACUGAAUUCAUAGAGCAGACAAAGAAAGCAUGGGAGGUUAGCUCUGAGUUCCAAGAAUAAAGUAAAGCCAAGUGCCUUCAUGAAGCCCCCAUAAUGUUUGUAAUAAAGCUCACCACUGGGCUUUCUGGCCUCAGUUUCUUCAUCUGCAGAAUCCAUGGGCUAGCCGUGAUUAUACUUAAGGCUAAUACUUUACCCUGAAUAUUCAGGUUCUAGGUAUAUGCUUCAUUAAAACUAUCUAGGGCCUCAGAAGUUUAGAAUUCUGAUUUCGCAAAAUUCUGAUAAAAAAUAAAAUGUGUGAACAUGAGGGCAGCAAUCUUGGUAAUAAGGAAAAGCCUGGGGUAGGGCUGGAAACCUCGUAGGCACAGAGGCCCUCCAAGAGGUCCCUUCCCAUUGAUCGGGCCGGGCUAGGGCAGUCACAGCGUGCUGGUCUGGUGGAGUUUAUGCAGCAACACAAACAAGAAACGCAGCAGCAGGGACAGAAAAUCCCCAUGAAGUCUGCCUUCUGCAACUAACUCUCGGUCCACCCCUCUCCACAUCUUGGUCUUCCCUUCCCAACCCCAUUCACAUCCUUCCAGGGGAGAACGUGCAAGAAAUUUCUCCUUUCCUGCAAGCAAAGGAAUCCAGUAGUGCCACCUUGGUCAGAAUGGCCCUUUGUUCUGCUGUUUAAUGACUAAUUAUGAUGCUAUGAGAGGCAUACACAACUCUGGCAGAGCCAGGCCCUCCUGCUCCAGCAGGGCUGAGCGGCUGGAAGUGUGUAAUCUUCGGAAAGCUGUGACUGCGACCUGGAGUUGCGUAAGAAAUAAUUACAGAAUCCAGCCAGGGCUUGCUUCUUGCCACAGGCUCCAGGCUUUUACCCCCGACAUGUGUUCUGGUGAAUGGAGUGAGAUGAGGACUGGGUUUGAGAAGAUUUUGUUGGCUCCACAUGGUUUUGCAAAUCAACCUGCUGCUCCAGUGAUGACAUGCUGCUGAGGGAAGGUUUGGUGGUUCCUGGGAAGUUGAAAGGAUCUGGGCAAGCUUUUUAUUGCUGACUGUGUGCAACUGCCGCAAGGGGUCAAAAGUGCUUGGUUUGCACAACAUCUCCCCGGCAUUCUUACACGUGUGGUUAUGGAAUCAGGGUGCAGGGAAGGGUCAUGGAGCAGAGGGAAUUGCAUGUGCUCGAUCUUUUUCACAUUGGAGCUGCUUUCUGAAACCCGGCACGGGGAAGGUGAGGGUGCUGGAUAGUUUGGGGGGGCCACAGAGUCCUGUGGGUGUUAAAUCUCGGUCCCCCUCUGGGGACUUGUCCUUGCAGGGUGCUCAUCCAGGCCUUAAAAGUUGGCAGCAUCCCCCAGGAACUACCCUGUGAACAAAUCCAGGCUUUCGGAAGCACGUGAUUCUGCAGAAAUGCCACAUUCUCUUCCACAUGGGCUGUGGGCUCUGAGUCCCCCUUUGCUUCCUCGGCCUAUGUACCUGCUGAAGAAGACAGUUGUGUCGUGUACAUGCAACCUAAGGAGGUAACCUUUUACCCAGCCUGAGACUUCAGAGGGUAUUCAUAUUGGGGACCAGCAGCCCGUGAUGUUUGUCCCCCAGAGAGGGGGAGAGAGCUGCUGCCUGCAGAGUGGCUGCUCCUGCUUUGCACGGCCCCUGGCUUCUGCAUCCCUCCAUCCUCCAGCUGGGCACAGAGGUUGCCAAAAGGGCCAGUAGGAGGAGAAGGCUUCAUGGAGGACGGGGGCAAGAGCGGGCCGACCAUGCUGGCUUCCUCGCCUUGUGUCUGGCUGACUGCACAGGCCUGAGGAGGCUGUGUGUAAGUUGGCAAAUGACAGGAAGAGCAUGUGCUUCUAAUCACCCACCCAUCUUAAUAACGUCGAACAGAUACAGUGCAGAAACUAUUGCACAACCACCAGCAUUUCAUUACAUCAGAAUCCUUGCCAAUUUGAAAGAGGUCCUUGAAUCCAGGGAGAGUUACAUCUUUACGUUUUUGAUCACGAUCCUCUUGGAAGAUACUUAUUAGGGCCAUUUGUUGAUGACAAUAUUAAGAAUUAGCAAAUAUCUUCUUAAAUAUAACAAAAAUUGAAUUGUUUCAUUAGAGAACUAUAAAGUCUGUUAUUUAAGAGGAAACUGUUGUGCUGUUCAAAAGCAGGAAAGAAUUGUUGAAGGACUCUUCCUGGUCUCCUUUCUAGAACUGAGGCAACUCAGCUAUUGUAGUCAAAAGAAUUUUUAAAAAAUUAGUAAAGAGAAAAGCAGAAUCUUCGUACAUUGGUUGCCAACCAAGUCUCCUAAUACCUAGGAAGUUAUCAGUCAUGUCAAUGCAUUGAAUUUAGAUUUUUUAAGCUAAAAAAGGAAAGUGAAUUAUUCUAAGAAGUUCUCCUUUCUCCUCAAUAUGGGAAAAAGGCCAUUUUUGUUGUUUGGGGCCUGUUGUGGGAAAACAGGAGGGUUGUUUGAUGAGGAGUCCCCACCUGUAAGUGUGUGUCACCAGACAGCAGGAACUUCUGGGUCAUCCCAGGUUCCCUGCAGACCCCUCUUUCUUUUUCUUUCUUUCUUUCUCUUUCUUCUUUUCUUUUCUUUUCUGAGACAG
rnacentral:lncRNA from 1 species